GUCUCAGUAGCAUAGUUGUUAGUGCCGGUAGGUUGAGACGCGGGUUCGAAUCCCGCCUGAAAUA
rnacentral:tRNA from 1 species